GUCUCAGUGUGGUUCUACAAAGUGCGAAGGUGACUUCCUUGGGCAGUUUUCCCAAAACACAAUACUUCUCCCCAAAGAAACAAAGGUCAAAAUCCUGCAACCAUCUGUCCAUCUGAGCCAACUGAUUACGUAUGAAAGCGAAGUCCAUUGACUUCAAGUCACAAGUGCCCCCAGCAGGCCUGGUGGCAGAUUCCUUCAGCAGGAUGGCUGGGAGUGCCACAGGCCGAGGUGGGAAGCUCUAGCACAGAAGCAAGUUUCGGGGAGAACGGCUGUGAGUUUGCUGCCUGCUGUCUCCCGCAGAUGAUCCCCGACGAUCCACUCG
ensembl:lncRNA